rnacentral:misc_RNA from 1 species
GUUAUCUAUUCUGAUUUUGCAGGAUAAUUUGGUAGUUGUAAUGAGUUCCAUUAUAAGUUAUAACCACAACUACAACUAUUUUUGUUUAAUCAUAAAAUUUAUGCACCUUGAAUGUAAAGGAAUGUACUGUGAUGAGCCGUUGCUUGAUGGAGAGAACAUGUCAGCUGCUUGAGAACUUUUGCUCCAAAUGGGAAAAAAGUUGUUU